CAAGAGGUAGUUUAAGUAGAGCGGUAGCUUUGGAAGUUAUUGGUGGGGUGUAUAGCCUGCCCCCUUCUUGA
rnacentral:tRNA from 1 species